rnacentral:rRNA from 1 species
GACGAACGCUGGCGGCGUGCUUAACACAUGCCAGUCGAACGGAAAGGCCCUGCUUUUGUGGGGUGCUCGAGUGGCGAACGGGUGAGUAACACGUGAGUAACCUGCCCUUGACUUUGGGAUAACUUCAGGAAACUGGGGCUAAUACCGGAUAGGAGCUCCUGCUGCAUGGGGGGGGUUGGAAAGUUUCGGCGGUUGGGGCUGGACUGGCGGCUUAUCAGCUUGUUGGUGGGGUAGUGGCUUACCAAGGCUUUGACGGGUAGCCGGCCUGAGAGGGUGACCGGCCACAUGAGGACUACGGUACGGCGCAGACUCCUAUGGGAGGCAGCAGUGGGAAAUAUUACACAAUGGGCGGAAGCCUGAUGCAGCGACGCCGCGUGCGUGAUGACGGCCUUCUGGUUAUAAACCGCUUUCGCCUGUGACGAAGCGUGAGUGACGGUAAUGGGUAAAGAAGCACCGGCUAACUACGUG